ACCCGGCUGAAGAGUUCAAAAUAGGACGAAACGCGCUCCCUGGAU
rnacentral:hammerhead_ribozyme from 1 species